UNGCCAUAGAUAAAGCCUGCUAACAUUUGC
rnacentral:piRNA from 1 species